UACAUGCAAGUCGAGCGAAUGUGAUUGAGAGCUUGCUCUCAAGAAGUUAGCGGCGGACGGGUGAGUAACACGUGGGUAACCUGCCCAUAAGACUGGGAUAACUCCGGGAAACCGGGGCUAAUACCGGAUAACAUUUUGAACUGCAUGGUUCAAAAUUGAAAGGCGGCUUCGGCUGUCACUUAUGGAUGGACCCGCGUCGCAUUAGCUAGUUGGUGAGGUAACGGCUCACCAA
rnacentral:rRNA from 1 species